rnacentral:lncRNA from 1 species
CAGUGAUGCAACCCGUCAGGAUGUUCUCGAUGGUGCAGCUGUAAAACCUUUUGAGGAUCUGAGGACCUAUGACAAAUCUUUUCAGUCUCCUGAGGGGGAAUAGGGCUUGUCGUGCCCUCUUCACGACUAUCGUGGUGUGCUUGGACCAUGUUAGUUUGUUGGUGAUGUGGAUGCCAAGGAACUUGAAGCUCUCAACCUGCUCCACUACAGCCCCAUCGAUGAGAAUAGGGGAGUGCUCGGUCCUCCUUUUCCUGUAGUCCACAAUCAUCUCCAUCCGUCUUGAUCACGUUGAGGGAGAGAUGGAUACCCUUCCCCUACCCAUGGUGUUUGAAGAGGCUGCAUUGGGAAGAGGAUGCCUCAACACCCUGAAAAGAUGUUUGUGGUGCACACACUCAUCACACUUUUUUUGAGUGAUAAAUAAGUGUAUCAUCUUCAAGCUUGAUAAGAAACAAUCACAUUUCAACAACAAAAAUGUUGUCCUCCCCUGAUUCAGAAUAUAGCAUUUUCAUAGUCAUGGAACGCUUUGUUUAAGAGCUAUUGAAGAUUGAAAUCUGGGUGAAAAAUACAUUAUUAUUUUUUUUUUUGUGUGUGAAUUUUUCUCCAUCCUACCUGAUUCAGAAUAUAUAAUUUUCAUAGUAAUGGCUUGGUACAAUAGCUAUUGAUGAGAGAAUACCGAAUAUCGACCAAAUAUCCAAUAUAAAACACAUUUUACCUUGGUUCCUAACCUUACAACUCUUUACUUGAG